rnacentral:rRNA from 1 species
UCGUGACUGCGUGCCUUUUGAAGAAUGAGCCUGCGAGUUUGCGGUGUGUUGCGAGGUUAACCCGGGUGGGGAAGCCGUAGCGAAAGCGAGUCCGAACAGGGCGAUUCAGUAGCACGCUCAAGACCCGAAGCGGAGUGAUCUAGCCAUGGGCAGGUUGAAGCGGAGGUAAGACUUCGUGGAGGACCGAACCCACCAGGGUUGAAAACCUGGGGGAUGACCUGUGGUUAGGGGUGAAAGGCCAAUCAAACUCCGUGAUAGCUGGUUCUCCCCGAAAUGCAUUUAGGUGCAGCGUCGUGUGUUUCUUGCCGGAGGUAGAGCACUGGAUAGGCGAUGGGCCCUACCGGGUUACUGACCUUAGCCAAACUCCGAAUGCCGGUAAGUGAGAGCGCGGCAGUGAGACUGUGGGGGAUAAGCUCCAUGGUCGAGAGGGAAACAGCCCAGAGCAUCGACUAAGGCCCCUAAGCGUACGCUAAGUGGGAAAGGAUGUGGAGUCGCACAGACAACCAGGAGGUUGGCUUAGAAGCAGCCACCCUUGAAAGAGUGCGUAAUAGCUCACUGGUCUAGUGAUUCCGCGCCGACAAUGUAGCGGGGCUCAAGCGUACCGCCGAAGUCGUGUCAUUGCAGCAAUACGGCCAACGCCGGCUGUGAUGGGUAGGGGAGCGUCGUGUGCCGGGUGAAGCAGCCGCGGAAGCGAGUUGUGGACGGUUCACGAGUGAGAAUGCAGGCAUGAGUAGCGAUACAAACGUGAGAAACGUUUGCGCCGAUUGACUAAGGGUUCCUGGGUCAAGCUGAUCUGCCCAGGGUAAGUCGGGACCUAAGGCGAGGCCGACAGGCGUAGUCGAUGGAUAACCGGUUGAUAUUCCGGUACCCGCUGUGAAGCGUCAAACAUCGAGCAUCGUGAUGCUAAGGCCGUGAAGCCGUUCCGGACCCUUCGGGGAAAGGAAAGUGGUGGAGCCGCCGAACCAAGCGGUUAGUAGGUGAGUGAUGGGGUGACGCAGGAAGGUAGUCCAUCCCGGGCGGUGGUUGUCCCGGGGUAAGGGUGUAGGCCGUGCGAUAGGUAAAUCCGUCGCACAUUAGGCUGAGACCUGAUGCCGAGCCGAUUGUGGUGAAGUGGAUGAUCCUAUGCUGUCGAGAAAAGCCUCUAGCGAGUUUCAUGGCGGCCCGUACCCUAAACCGACUCAGGUGGUCAGGUAGAGAAUACCGAGGCGUUCGGGUGAACUAUGGUUAAGGAACUCGGCAAAAUGCCCCCGUAACUUCGGGAGAAGGGGGGCCAUUCCUGGUGAUGGAAUUUACUUCCUGAGCUGGGGGUGGCCGCAGAGACCAGCGAGAAGCGACUGUUUACUAAAAACACAGGUCCGUGCGAAGCCGUAAGGCGAUGUAUACGGACUGACGCCUGCCCGGUGCUGGAACGUUAAGGGGACCGGUUAGCUCCAUUUCGGUGGGGCGAAGCUGAGAACUUAAGCGCCAGUAAACGGCGGUGGUAACUAUAACCAUCCUAAGGUAGCGAAAUUCCUUGUCGGGUAAGUUCCGACCUGCACGAAUGGCGUAACGACUUCUCGACUGUCUCAACCAUAGGCCCGGUGAAAUUGCACUACGAGUAAAGAUGCUCGUUUCGCGCAGCAGGACGGAAAGACCCCGGGACCUUUACUACAGUUUGAUAUUGGUGUUCGGUUCGGCUUGUGUAGGAUAGCUGGGAGACUGUGAACUCUGGACGCCAGUUCAGGGGGAGUCGUCGUUGAAAUACCAGUCUGGUCGUGCUGGAUGUCUAACCUGGGUCCGUGAUCCGGAUCAGGGACAGUGUCUGAUGGGUAGUUUAACUGGGGCGGUUGCCUCCUAAAGAGUAACGGAGGCGCCCAAAGGUUCCCUCAGCCUGGUUGGCAAUCAGGUGUUGAGUGUAAGUGCACAAGGGAGCUUGACUGUGAGACCGACGGGUCGAGCAGGGACGAAAGUCGGGACUAGUGAUCCGGCGGUGGCUUGUGGAAGCGCCGUCGCUCAACGGAUAAAAGGUACCCCGGGGAUAACAGGCUGAUCUUCCCCAAGAGUCCAUAUCGACGGGAUGGUUUGGCACCUCGAUGUCGGCUCGUCGCAUCCUGGGGCUGGAGUCGGUCCCAAGGGUUGGGCUGUUCGCCCAUUAAAGCGGUACGCGAGCUGGGUUUAGAACGUCGUGAGACAGUUCGGUCCCUAUCCGCUGUGCGCGUAGGAGUCUUGAGAAGGGCUGUCCCUAGUACGAGAGGACCGGGACGGACGAACCUCUGGUGUGCCAGUUGUCCUGCCAAGGGCAUGGCUGGUUGGCUACGUUCGGGAGGGAUAACCGCUGAAAGCAUCUAAGCGGGAAGCCUGCUUCGAGAUGAGGACUCCCACCCCCUUGA